UUCUUUAAAAAAGGGUUUUUGUUAAGGAGUCUGGGAAUCAUGGAAUCAUAGUGACCAACUGUUAUGGACUGGAUUGUAUCCCCCUCCAAUUCAGUUACGGUGCUGCUUCAGAAAGAAAAGAGAUAGUUUCCCUUGCAAAGUUAUCAAAGUGCUCCCCAAAAGGCAUUAGGUGUUUGCUUUCUAGUCUACAUACAAUGAAAAGGAAAAAAUGUCAGUUCCUGAAGCUCUCUCAAAACAUCAACAGAUGGAAAGACGUGCCCAUGUCCUCCCCUCGGUCCACUCUGGGGGCUUAGAAAUGCUGCAGCAGGGAGCAGGCCCCAGGCUGAACCUGCCCUGUCCUCAUGACAAGUGUGUGCAAAAGUGAACAAUAAAUCAUUUCAAAAAUGCAAGGAAUAAAAACCAAAACAUCAACAGAAUCUUCUUUCCCAUAAUCUUCAUGCACCUCCUGGUCCAGAUGAGUUCAUGUUCCCAUCUCUGAGCACAGGGAUUGAUUAUGAUGGCAUUUACACGACUGAGUGCCCCCACUCUGUGAUCCAGCAUGGAGUUAUGAUUUAAAUCACCACAGGAAGAGUACAGAGGCUUCGACAGAAAAAAAGCAAAAACAACAGACCUUCAUUCAGCUUAGGAACAUAAUAAAUAGGACGAAGUUGAAUAAACGAAAUGGACGCAAGUGAAGUAUUCCAGAUGGAAGAGGCAGUACGUGGCCAAGAGGAAACAGACCAUGCGCACUGGAGAAAAAGGAUGGCCAGACUUGCAGAAACCUGGAAUUGGUGAUUGGCUUUAGAAGUGGAGAGACAAAAAAGGGGGCAUAGAAAGUGCCAACAUUUGGCUACACAGGGAAGAAAGACGUAAAAUAAUAAAAACAUUGGCAUCACCUGUAGACUCAAAUCCUGUGAGUGAAGGACCUGAGCAAUGAAGGAUGGAUUGAACCUGUGACUAGCCUUCUUCAGCAUAUGUAAAACGAUGUCUGCUUUUCUUCUCUAUUUGUCAUUUUACCGACUUUUUAUAUAGUGGUUUCCCCAUAUCCAUGGAGGAUGCAUCCCAAGACCCCCAGAGGAUGCUUGAAACCACAGAUAAUAACAAACUCUAUGAAUCCUAUGAUUUUUCCUGUACAUCCUUACCUAUCAUAAAGUGAGUUUAUAAAUUAGGCACAGUAGGAGAUUAAAAACAAUAACUCAUAAUAAAAUAGGACAAUUAUAACAGUACAACCUAAUGAAA
rnacentral:antisense_RNA from 1 species